ensembl:snRNA U6 U6 spliceosomal RNA
GUGCUCGCUUUGGCACCACAUAUACUAAAAUUGGAAUGAUACACAGAAGAUUAGCAUCACACCUGUACAAGGAUGAUAUGCAAAUUUCUGGUGUUCCAUACAUUUUU